AUAAGAAGGUAAGAAGGCUGCAGCUUCCACUGGGCCUCUUGGGCUGCGUACUCUUGACACUCUUGCUCUGAGAACUAAGCAGGCAUAUUGCAUAUCAAAAUAGUAAAGAACUUCCUUUCCAAAGGCAAGACAUGCUUCUGUGAGGUACUGAGCCACCCGUCCCUGGAGGAAAGCAAGAACAGAGCAGAUCAGGGCCCAGGCAGACAUCUUGGAUGAUGGGGUACAUCUUGCCAUCCCGAGGCAAAGCUGGAGCGGGCAGUUGUCUGUGGGGAGGCCCUGGCUCACUCUGGGCCAAAUAACAGGACUGAUUGCAGCCAGCGAUGAAACAUCCUGUUUCUCCCAACCAGAAACAGGUAGAGGAGCUGCUUUAGGACGGAAGAUGAAGCUUGCUUUUUCUUUCUCCUAGAAGUCAGCAUUUUACAUGAUUCUGGGAGGGAAGAAAGGAGACAGGAACCAAGGAGCCUGAGUGGGGAUUUGCCCACAGCUGGGCAGCGAGGCUCCCGUCAGGAAGGCUUUUCAGAGGGAGUGUUGGAAGGAGUCGUCGAGGAGUCUUCCUCACCCAGGAAGUCUUCCUUACAGGGUGAGCCCCAACCUGCUGGACCUGUGCAGAAUUCUCCCAACAGGGGAUCCUGGUUGACUGAGGUCUGCUAAUUCCAAUUCACAUACGCUAAAUUCUCCCACAAUGUCUUCAUCAUCAAUGAAUCCCUUUCCACUGACACAAUGCCUGGAAGAACAUAAACACUGUGAGGAUAAAUGCCAAUGAAAUAAUAAUAAAAUAAACUUUCUUUGGUGGCCAGAGGA
rnacentral:lncRNA from 1 species